AUAUAAGCAAAAAUUUAAUUUUUAGAUUCAUUCAUUAAAUGACGUAUGUAAACUUUAUUAUAGACUACAUACGUCAUUUAACGAAUGAAUCUAAAAAUUAAAUUUUUGCUUAUAU
rfam:Medicago truncatula strain A17 chromosome 7, whole genome shotgun sequence.